AGGUAAUUCGCCCAUGUGGGUCAGCACACAGAACAGUCCCUAAAGGAAGUAUCAGGGAGACAAUAGAAUAGGAUCAGCUGCCACAACAAAGCUGUGGUUCACAACAUUCCGUGGAAAAAUGUACUAACCCUGGAAAGUUAUAGCGACGACCCUCCAUCUUUACAAUCUGAAGAAGCGCCUGAUUCAGCAGGUGCCCCCCACACCCACCCCUGAAGGUCCUCGCGGUUACCCGGCUCCUCGGAAGGUUUCAGAGUGUCCCGAGGAGGGUUUGCCUUGUGAUGUGGCCCGACCGCCGACCUGCCUGCACUCGCAC
ensembl:lncRNA